rnacentral:rRNA from 1 species
UACGUAGGGGCCGAGCGUUGUCCGGAGUUAUUGGGCGGAAAGCGCGCGCAGGCGGCUUCGCGCGUCCGACGUGAAAGCCCCCGGCUUAACCGGGGAGGGUCGUUGGGUACGGCGGAGCUUGAGGGCGGGAGAGGGUGGUGGAAUUCCCGGUGUAGUGGUGAAAUGCGUAGAGAUCGGGAGGAACACCUGUGGCGAAGGCGGCCACCUGGGCCGACCCUGACGCUGAGGCGCGAAGGCGUGGGGAGCGAACGGG